rnacentral:rRNA from 1 species
UUCUUUUAGACUUAAUUAAAAGUAACCUCUGCUCUCUGCAACUUAACAGCCGCUGUCCGCAGUGCUAAGGUAGCAUAAUCACUUGCCUUCUAAAUGAAGGAUAGAAUGAAUGAGCAUACGAUCUCAUAACUCUAUCAUUAUUACACACUAAAACUAUACUAAAAGUAAAAAUACCUUUAAACUUUAGCAAGACGAUAAGACCCUGACGAACUUACAUCAAUUUGACUAGGAUGGUCUCCACAACAAAAUCUUACCCUAUAUUACGAAAAAACAACAUAUUAACACAAGUUACCGCAGGGAUAACAGCAUAAUUUGCUUCAAAAGACCAUAUCUAAAAGCAAGAUUAUGACCUCGAUGUUGAAUAAAUACUCUAGGAUAAGCAAAAAUAUCCUAAGAUAGACUGUUCGUCUAUUAAAUAUUUACA